CAAAUGUUAAGGAAUAAACUCUUAUAGUAAAGUGUUACUAAAUUUUCUUUUACCAUUUCCUUCACAAUGUCUACUUAUUUCUAUGGCUAACAGAUUUUGUAACAUUUGUCUUUUUUACAGUCUUACCAUUGCUUGUAAGCUGGAUUGGGUAAGAUGGAUCAUCUUUAAAGGCACCAGGAGUUAAGGCAGAUGUGGAGGCACAAUGGGUGACACCAGACACACACCAAGCACAUUAUGUUCGGACAUUAAAUCAUGACAGGAUCCAGGUGGAUGCUGUCCAUUGAGGAAAGAGUUUGUUCAGAGGUUUCUGGAUAGAAUUAAUUCCAAAGAUGGGAAAAAGUGCACAUCCAGACAAGGAGCAAGCAAAUAGACAAGGAACUUGGUGCAGAGAAAAGCUGUGGCCAUUAACCCCCAUGUGAACAGCUUCAUGCAGUCCCUGAUUGAGUUCGAAUGGACGACUUCAAAGUAAAGGCCACUGUGGUCUGUCUGCCACAGUUUAAUUUUUAAUUUAUUUUUAGUGUUCAAUGAAAUUCAAGUAGAAUAUUUAAAACUAUGGGCCAGUGUUCUUUUUACCACAGUGAAAUGUUACCUUUAAGUCGAUGAUGGACUUUAAACUGAAAACUUCAAACUAUGGAAGAGUGUUCUAUUUGCCAGAGUUAAAUAUGUUACAGCA